rnacentral:misc_RNA from 1 species
GAUGAAGAACGCAGCAAAAUGCGAUAAGUAAUGUGAAUUGCAGAAUUCAGUGAAUCAUCGAAUCUUUGAACGCACAUUGCGCCCGCCAGUAUUCUGGCGGGCAUGCCUGUUCGAGCGCCAUUUCAACCCUCAAGCCCUCGGGUUUGGUGUUGGGGAUCGGCGAGCCUUUCUGGCAAGCCGGCCCCGAAAUCUAGUGGCGGUCUCGCUGCAGCCUCCAUUGCGUAGUAGUAAAACCCUCGCAACUGGAACGCGGCGCGGCCAAGCCAUUAAACCCCCAACUUCUGAAUGUUGACCUCGGAUCAGGUAGGAAUACCCGCUGAACUUAAGCAUAUCAAUAAGCGGAGGA